rnacentral:snRNA from 1 species
AUCACUUCCCUACCUUGUGGCUCAGAUCGAGUGUAGUAUCUGCUCCUACCAGGUUAGUAUCUGAUAUGUCCUCUGUCCGAGGACAAUAUAUUAAAUGGAUUUUUUUUGGGAGCUGGGAGAUGGAGCAGCAGCUUGCUGUGUCCAAGAUACUCCUUGAUUUGGUGUUGCAGUAGUCCAGGAAUGGUGCCCCCACC